rnacentral:tRNA from 1 species
GGGGUUGUGGCUCAACGGUAGAGUGCUCACCUAGCACUGUGAGCCCCUGGGUUCAAUCCUCAGCACCACA